UACGUAGGUGGCAAGCGUUGUUCGGAAUUACUGGGCGUAAAGCGCGCGUAGGCGGCUUUGUAAGUUAGAGGUGAAAGCCUGGAGCUCAACUUCAGAAUUGCCUUUAAGACUGCAUCGCUAGAAUCCAGGAGAGGUGAGUGGAAUUCCGAGUGUAGAGGUGAAAUUCGUAGAUAUUCGGAAGAACACCAGUGGCGAAGGCGGCUCACUGGACUGGUAUUGACGCUGAGGUGCGAAAGCGUGGGGAGCAAACAGG
rnacentral:rRNA from 1 species